rnacentral:rRNA from 1 species
AGUGAACGCUGGCGGUAGGCCUAACACAUGCAAUUCGAACGGCAGCACAGUAAGAGCUUGCUCUUACGGGUGGCGAGUGGCGGACGGGUGAGGAAUACAUCGGAAUCUACUUUUUCGUGGGGGAUAACGUAGGGAAACUUACGCUAAUACCGCAUACGACCUACGGGUGAAAGCAGGGGAUCUUCGGACCUUGCGCGAUUGAAUGAGCCGAUGUCGGAUUAGCUAGUUGGCGGGGUAAAGGCCCACCAAGGCGACGAUCCGUAGCUGGUCUGAGAGGAUGAUCAGCCACACUGGAACUGAGACACGGUCCAGACUCCUACGGGAGGCAGCAGUGGGGAAUAUUGGACAAAGGGCGCAAGCCUGAUCCAGCCAUACCGCGUGGGUGAAGAAGGCCUUCGGGUUGUAAAGCCCUUUUGUUGGGAAAGAAAAGCAGCAGGUUAAUACCCCGCUGUUCUGACGGUACCCAAAGAAUAAGCACCGGCUAACUUCGUG